AAUUUUGGACAAUGGGGGCAACCCUGAUCCAGCCAUCCCGCGUGUGCGAUGAAGGCCUUCGGGUUGUAAAGCACCUUUGGCAGGGAAGAAAAGGCGCCGGAUAAUACCUGGCGCCGCUGACGGUACCUGCAGAAUAAGCACCGGCUAACUACGUGCCAGCAGCCGCGGUCAUACGUAGGGUGCAAGCGUUACUCGGAAUUACUGGGCGUAAGGCGUGCGCAGGCGGUUCGGAAAGAAAGAUGUGAAAUCCCAGGGCUUAACCUUGGAACUGCAUUCUUAACUGCCAGGCUAGAGUAUGUCAGAGGGGGGUAGAAUUCCGCGUGUAGCAGUGAAAUGCGUAGAGAUGCGGAGGAAUACCGAUGGCGAAGGCAGCCCCCUGGGAUAAUACUGACGCUCAUGCACGAAAGCGUGGGGAGCAAACAG
rnacentral:rRNA from 1 species